GGUGCCGGCGGGAGGACGCGGGCGGCGCGCGGGGCUGCGGCACCCACGGGCGGCCCGGCGGGACCGCACCGGAACUGAGCACCGCACACACCGCACACACCGCACACACCGCACACACCGCGCCGGGACCCCGCUCCGCGCCGGGACACGGCCCCGGCAGCGCCUCCCGCCGGCACCGGGGUCCCGGCGGUUCCAGGGGCGCAGCGGAGGCAGGAAGGAGAAGAGGGAUCCCCGUGUCCCCACUGCCCUGCCAGAGGAAGGAGGAGCCGAGAGAAGGCUCUCAUCGAUCCUUCCCAGCAGUGCGGAGCAGCCAGGACUCAGCUGUGAGCUGCCAAACUGACGGGGAGGACUCUGUCCUGCUGCCUGCCUGGCUCCGUCCCCAUCCCACUGCCAGCACCACCGCUGUCCCCUGUCCCCUGCCAAUGCCGGCAGGUGGAGGCUGCACGCACAGUCACUGCACUGGCAUCCCAAGUGUGAGACCAAGCUGUGGGCCCUGUUUACUCCUGUGGGACAGUGGCUAUGGGGGCUGCUCUCUCCACUGGGGCGAUCGUGGCAAUUUCUUUUAACUGUGUCAUUGCGUUGCUCAUCCUCAUCCUCUUCCUCAUCCUCUGCAAAGCUUGCAGGACCCCUUCAUGUCCCAAGAAGAGCCCAGCUUCUGAUGUGGAUGAGUCAAGGAAUGAAGAGAAAUACCUGCUGCAGCCCUGAUCUGCCUGAUUUGGGGAGCUGGGUACCCAGCUGUGCCAGAGGAGUUGCUCCAGCCUGGAUGCUUCUGCUAGGACUGGAGUGCCAAACUAGGCAUGAUGAAAGCAGGCGGGACACUGAGCUGCUCACAGGGGCCAUGACAGGGGGCACAGUCCUUUGCCUUGGUGGUUUUAGUGUGUGAAGUUCCUGCGAGUGCCUGCAGUGAUCAUGGGGAUAGAGAGACAACAGAUGGGGAUGUGCUACAGGGACAAUCAUGCCUAUCCCAGCGGCCAGAAAGCACAGCAGGAGCCCUGCCCUCAUGUGCACCCCGUGCUUGGGAAGAGCCUGUGGGCCUGGGACAGUGGCCACCACAGCACAGACCUGAGCAAGGCUGGGUGGAGGCUCAGAGAGGGGAGGCAGCAGGGCUGGUACAGGCACUUUUUCCCAAGCAGGCUGGCUGUUCAAUGGUGGGGUGUGCCCAGGGGGACCCAAGCAGCCCCGGCAGAGCAGGGUGUUACCAGUCCAGAUGUUUGGGGGUGGCCCUGGGGUGCCGUGGGUCCCCAGCCUCAGGAUGGCAUUUGGCACACAUCUGCCCAAGCAGCCAGUUUGAUGAGGCACAAGAGGGUCUGCAUGGUCUGCCCGAUCCUCCCCAGUCUGUCUGUCAAUCCCCUCCAGCAUUAGCACUAACGCUGCUAGGCAAACAGCCCUCUUCCUCACCGUGGGUUUGUCCCUGCCUUCCCUCCUGCCUACUGCCAGCUGAGGCCAGACAGUGGGAUUUGGCCAGCCUGCGAGCAGCAGACAUGCCCUCACUGGCAUUCCCAUCCCCACUGACAGCUUUUUCCUGGGGAGGUGGGAGAUGUGGGGAGAUAACAGUGCCCAGAGAAACAGCACUGAAGGUUCUUUGACCCCGACUGUUCCCUGGGGAUCACAGUGGCUCUGUGGGGAGGGAUGCUGGUAGUCUGACUUGUCCUCAAGCCUGGCUGCUGCAUCCCCUGCCCUGCCAGCAGGUGCCGUGGGUUUUGGAGGGCUCUGCCUUGCCUAUCCUAGAGCCGAGCAAUAGCCAUGGUCACUGCUGGCACAGCCACUGCAAUAAGGGGACAGAGGGGUGGGGUGGGAGGGACACUGGCCAGGGUCCCUGCGCAGGCUUGGCCAGGCCUGGCAGAGCCUGGGGUUCCUCCCCAUGUCAGGUGUAGCGAACACAUCCCUUUGCAGCCUUGUUUUUACUAGACUAAUAAACCAAUUGUAGGACCCA